UAUCCCUUCGGGGUCAUCCGAUAAAAUUGGAAUGAUACAAAAAAGAUUAGCAUGGCCCCUGCGCAAGGAUAACACACACAAAUCGAAAAAUGCUCCAAAUUUUU
rfam:Triticum aestivum genome assembly, contig: Triticum_aestivum_CS42_TGACv1_scaffold_220634_3B